rnacentral:rRNA from 1 species
GUAGGUGGCAAGCGUUGUCCGGAAUUAUUGGGCGUAAAGCGCGCGCAGGCGGUCCUUUAAGUCUGAUGUGAAAGCCCACGGCUCAACCGUGGAGGGUCAUUGGAAACUGGGGGACUUGAGUACAGAAGAGGAAAGCGGAAUUCCAAGUGUAGCGGUGAAAUGCGUAGAGAUUUGGAGGAGCACCAGUGGCGAAGGCGGCUUUCUGGUCUGUAACUGACGCUGAGGCGCGAAAGCGUGGGGAGCAAACAGGGAUUAGAUACCCUGGUAGUCCACGCCGUAAACGAUGAGUGCUAAGUGUUAGGGGGUUUCCCGCCCCUUAGUGCUGCAGCUAACGCAUUAAGCACUCCGCCUGGGGAGUACGGCCCCCCAAGGCUG